rnacentral:rRNA from 1 species
CAGUCGCCACGGUAAUACGAAGGGUGCAAGCGUUAAUCGGAAUUACUGGGCGUAAAGCGUGCGUAGGCGGUUUGUUAAGUCUGUUGUGAAAUCCCCGGGCUCAACCUGGGAAUGGCAAUGGAUACUGGCAAGCUAGAGUCUUGUAGAGGGGGGUAGAAUUCCAGGUGUAGCGGUGAAAUGCGUAGAGAUCUGGAGGAAUACCGGUGGCGAAGGCGGCCCCCUGGACAAAGACUGACGCUCAGGUGCGAAAGCGUGGGGAGCAAACAGGAUUAGAUACCCGGGUAGUCCCUGUCUCUUAUAC